AGUCACAUCACAUUGAAACACCGGCUCACCUAUGAUCAUCGAAGUUAAACAUCAUCGAACCCGGUCAGUACUUAGAUGGGUGACCGCUUGAGAAUACAAGAUGCUGAAA